ACUCAAAGGAAUUGACGGGGGCCCGCACAAGCGGUGGAGCAUGUGGUUCAAUUCGACGCAACGCGAAGAACCUUACCUGGGCUCGAACGGCUGCCGACUGUUCCUGGAAACAGGGACUUUCCCGCAAGGGACGCGCAGUCGAGGUGCUGCAUGGCUGUCGUCAGCUCGUGUCGUGAGAUGUUGGGUUAAGUCCCGCAACGAGCGCAACCCUUGUCCUGUGUUACCAUGCCGAAAGGCGGCACUCGCAGGAGACCGCCAGCGAUAAGCUGGAGGAAGGUGGGGAUGACGUCAAGUCCUCAUGGCCUUUAUGUCCAGGGCUACACACGUGCUACAAUGGCCGGUACAAAGCGCUGCGAAGUCGCAAGACGGAGCCAAUCGCAAAAAACCGGUCUCAGUUCGGAUUGCAGGCUGCAACUCGCCUGCAUGAAGCUGGAAUCGCUAGUAAUGCUAUAUCAGAACGAUAGCGUGAAUACGUUCCCGGGCCUUGUACACACCGCCCGU
rnacentral:rRNA from 1 species